GGUUAGGCCUCACCUGGAGAACUGUGUCCUGUUUUGGUCACCAGUGUGUAUAGAAAGAAUGUGGAGAAACUGGAACGGAUCCAGAGGUGAAGGUUUCCAGCAGACAUC